UCCUUUGUGUAACAGGCAGCAAGGAAGGUUUUAACAGGACUGUGUGACCAGUCUAGAUGUAAAUUUCAGAGAUACAGGAGGACUAUGAGGAGGAAGAAAAGCAGGAGGGAACAAGUUGAGUCUUCUUCCUUCAUCCAGGAUUCCAAAACAGGGGGAUGUGGAGAAAGGACAAUGUAUGCGAAAGCCUGCAGACGUGCACACAGUAUGGAACACAGUUACAGAAAUAGAGUGUCUGAGGCUCGCUCGACCCGCUGCGCCUUGGGAGAGAAGAUGAACCCCAUAAGGGGAGCCGGGAGAGAAGAAACCAGAUGAAUAUUCAGUGGCUUCUGAUUUCACCGUACAAGUGCUCGCUCUGUGCCCCAGGGGAAUCCCAUGGCCAGCUGUGAAGGCAGGAAGAGGAGAAUCAAGCAUGAAGCCAGCCUCCAGGGCAGCAGCUGAUGCUGAGCAAGUGGGUGAGGGAUCGACACAGCCGGCCGGCCGCUCACAUCCACCUAUCCAUCCAUCACUCACGUAUACACCCAUUUCUCCCAACUGCUCCUUCUCUUUAAGGAGUUCUCUUUAUAUUAUUUUAAUUUUUAAGACUGGGUCUCUCUAUGUAGCCUUGGCUCUCCUGGCAGUCUCCAUGCAGAGCAGGCUGGCCUCGAACUCACAGAGAUCUGCCUGCCUUUGCCAACCAAGUGCUGGGGUUAAUGGUGUGUGCCACCAUACCCAGACCAAAGAUUUAUUUUCCCUGCCCCCACACUCCCCGGCUCUGAGGGUCUUACACUUGUUAGGCAAUCAAUCAGUCUAUCACUGAGCUAAAGCCCCAACCCCAAGAUUUCUGUUUUUAUUAAAAAAAUAUUAAUUUUA
ensembl:antisense Gm13012 predicted gene 13012